CUGAUCCAGCCAUGCCGCGUGUGUGAAGAAGGUCUUCGGAUUGUAAAGCACUUUAAGUUGGGAGGAAGGGCAGUAAGUUAAUACCUUGCUGUUUUGACGUUACCAACAGAAUAAGCACCGGCUAACUUCGUGCCAGCAGCCGCGGUAAUACGUAGGGUGCGAGCGUUAAUCGGAAUUACUGGGCGUAAAGCGGGCGCAGACGGUUACUUAAGCAGGAUGUGAAAUCCCCGGGCU
rnacentral:rRNA from 1 species